UGGGGAAUAUUGGACAAUGGGCGCAAGCCUGAUCCAGCCAUGCCGCGUGAGUGAUGAAGGCCCUAGGGUUGUAAAGCUCUUUCACCGGUGAAGAUAAUGACGGUAACCGGAGAAGAAGCCCCGGCUAACUUCGUGCCAGCAGCCGCGGUAAUACGAAGGGGGCUAGCGUUGUUCGGAUUUACUGGGCGUAAAGCGCACGUAGGCGGACUUUUAAGUCAGGGGUGAAAUCCCGGGGCUCAACCCCGGAACUGCCUUUGAUACUGGAAGUCUUGAGUAUGGUAGAGGUGAGUGGAAUUCCGAGUGUAGAGGUGAAAUUCGUAGAUAUUCGGAGGAACACCAGUGGCGAAGGCGGCUCACUGGACCAUUACUGACGCUGAUGUGCGAAAGCGUGGGGAGCAAACAGG
rnacentral:rRNA from 2 species